rnacentral:rRNA from 1 species
UNUGACUUGAGUGCAGAAGGGGAGAGUGGAAUUCCAUGUGUAGCGGUGAAAUGCGUAGAUAUAUGGAGGAACACCAGUGGCGAAAGCGGCUCUCUGGUCUGUCACUGACGCUGAGGCUCGAAAGCGUGGGUAGCGAACAGGAUUAGAUACCCUGGUAGUNUACGCCGUAAACGAUGAGUGCUAGGUGUUAGGCCCUUUCCGGGGCUUAGUGCCGGAGCUAACGCAAUAAGCACUCCGCCUGGGGAGUACGAUCGCAAGGUUGAAACUCAAAGGAAUUGACGGGGGCCCGCACAAGCGGUGGAGCAUGUGGUUUAAUUCGAAGCAACGCGAAGAACCUUACCAGGUCUUGACAUCCCGAUGCUAUUCUUAGAGAUAGGAAGUUACUUCGGUACAUCGGAGACAGGUGGUGCAUGGUUGUCGUCAGCUCGUGUCGUGAGAUGUUGGGUUAAGUCCCGCAACGAGCGCAACCCUUAUUGUUAGUUGCCAUCAUUAAGUUGGGCACUCUAGCGAGACUGCCGGUAAUAAACCGGAGGAAGGUGGGGAUGACGUCAAAUCAUCAUGCCCCUUAUGACCUGGGCUACACACGUGCUACAAUGGUCGGUACAACGAGUUGCGAGCCGGUGACGGCAAGCUAAUCUCUGAAAGCCGAUCUCAGUUCGGAUUGGAGGCUGCAACUCGCCUCCAUGAAGUCGGAAUCGCUAGUAAUCGCGGAUCAGCACGCCGCGGUGAAUACGUUCCCGGGCCUUGUACACACCGCCCGUCACACCACGAGAGUUUGUAACACCCGAAGUCGGUGAGGUANCCUUUUAGGG